AAGCGUUAUCCGGAUUCACUGGGUUUAAAGGGUGUGUAGGCGGAUAUUUAAGUCAGUGGUGAAAUCUCCAGGCUCAACCUGGAAACUGCCAUUGAUACUAUUUAUCUUGAAUUCUGUUGAGGUGGGCGGAAUACAUCAUGUAGCGGUGAAAUGCUUAGAUAUGAUGUAGAACACCGAUUGCGAAGGCAGCUCACUAAACAGAUAUUGACGCUGAGGCACGAAAGCGUGGGGAUCAAACAGG
rnacentral:rRNA from 1 species